GAUGAACGCUAGCUACAGGCUUAACACAUGCAAGUCGAGGGGUAACGAGAGGAAAGCUUGCUUUCCUUGUCGACGACCGGCGCACGGGUGAGUAACGCGUAUCCAACCUGCCCCCAACUAGGGAAUAACCUUGCGAAAGUAAGACUAAUACCCUAUAAUUUCCUCAGAAGCCAUCUGACGAGGAAUAAAGAUUUAUCGGUUGUGGAUGGGAUGCGUCUGAUUAGCUUGUUGGCGGGGUAACGGCCCACCAAGGCAACGAUCAGUAGGGGUUCUGAGAGGAAGGUCCCCCACAUUGGAACUGAGACACGGUCCAAACUCCUACGGGAGGCAGCAGUGAGGAAUAUUGGUCAAUGGGCGGAAGCCUGAACCAGCCAAGUAGCGUGCAGGAUGACGGCCCUAUGGGUUGUAAACUGCUUUUAUACAGGAAUAAAGUUAGCCACGUGUGGUUAUUUGUAGGUACUGUAUGAAUAAGGACCGGCUAAUUCCGUGCCAGCAGCCGCCGUAAGAC
rnacentral:rRNA from 1 species